rnacentral:rRNA from 1 species
AUUGAACGCUGGCUGCAGGCCUAACACAUGCAAGUCGAGCGGAGCGGCGGACGGGUGAGUAAUGUCUAGGAAUCUGCCUGGUAGUGGGGGAUAACGUCCGGAAACGGGCGCUAAUACCGCAUACUAUCAGAUGAGCCUAGGUCGGAUUAGCUAGUUGGUGGGGUAAAGGCCUACCAAGGCGACGAUCCGUACAUGGUCUGAGAGGAUGAUCAGUCAGACUGGAACUGAGACACAGUCCAGAGUCCUAAGGGAGGCAGCAGUAGGGAAUAGUGGACAAUGGGCGAAAGCCUGAACCAGCCAUGCCGCGUGUGUGAAGAAGGUCUUCGGGUUGUAAAGCACUUUAAGUUGGGAGGCGUUACCAGCAGAAUAAGCACCGGCUAACUGCGUGCCAGCAGCCGCGGUAAUUC